AGUGAACGCUGGCGGUAGGCCUAACACAUGCAAGUCGAACGGCAGCACAGUAAGAGCUUGCUCUUACGGGUGGCGAGUGGCGGACGGGUGAGGAAUACAUCGGAAUCUACUUUUUCGUGGGGGAUAACGUAGGGAAACUUACGCUAAUACCGCAUACGACGUACGGCUGAAAGCAGGGGAUCUUCGGACUUUGCGCGUCUGAUUGAGCCGAUGUCGGAUUAGCUAGUUGGCGGGGUAAGGGCCCACCAAGGCGACGAUGCGUAGCUGGUCUGAGAGGAUGAUCAGCCACACUGGAACUGAGACACGGUCCAGACUCCUACGGGGGGCAGCAGUGGGGAAUAUUGGACAAUGGGCGCAAGCCUGAUCCAGCCAUGCCGCGUGGGUGAAGAAGGUCUUCGGGUUGUAAAGCCCUUUUGUUGGGAAAGAAAAGCAGCAGGUUAAUACCCCGCUGUUCUGACGGUACCCAAAGAAUAAGCACCGGCUAACUUCGUG
rnacentral:rRNA from 1 species